rnacentral:rRNA from 1 species
UACGGGGGGGGGCAAGCGUUGUUCGGAAUUACUGGGCGUAAAGGGCUCGUAGGUGGUCAACUAAGUCGGACGUGAAAUCCCUCGGCUUAACCGGGGAACUGCGUCCGAUACUGGAUGACUUGAGUUCGGGAGAGGGAUGCGGAAUUCCAGGUGUAGCGGUGAAAUGCGUAGAUAUCUGGAGGAACACCGGUGGCGAAGGCGGCAUCCUGGACCGACACUGACGCUGAGGAGCGAAAGCCAGGGGAGCAAACGGG